rnacentral:rRNA from 1 species
GACGAACCGUGCGAACGUUGUUCGGAUUCACUGGGCUUAAAGGGCGCGUAGGCGGGCGGUCAAGUCAGGGGUGAAAUCUUUCGGCUCAACCGGAAAAGUGCCUUUGAUACUGGCCGUCUCGAGGGGGGUAGGGGCAUGCGGAACUUCCGGUGGAGCGGUGAAAUGCGUAGAUAUCGGAAGGAACGCCGGUGGCGAAAGCGGCGUGCUGGACCUCUUCUGACGCUGAGGCGCGAAAGCCAGGGGAGCAAACGGGG